AAAGAUCAACCUCUGCUGGUCUGGAGGGAUGCCCUCCUUAUCCUGGAUCUUAGCUUUCACAUUGUCAAUAGUGUCAGAGCUCUCCACUUCCAAGGUGAUGGUCUUCCCGGUGAGAGUCUUAACAAAGAUUUGCAUCCCACCACGAAGUCGGAGAACCAAGUGGAGGGUGGACUCUUCCUGGAUGUUGUAGUCGGCAAGGGU
rnacentral:misc_RNA from 1 species